GAGCCUUUCGUCAUGGUUGACUUAGUUCUUCAUUUAGUUCCGAGAUUGUUAACUGAUACUUAUUUGGUUAUGUCAUAUAAUGUGAUUCAACAGCAGUCUCCCGUCUUUAAAAUGCCAUUGGUAAAGGAAAAGGUCAAAAUUAUCUCAUAUCUAUAUUAUCUCAUUUCAUAUAUUUUUAUGUCUAAGUGCUGGUAAAAAAUGAGAGUCUAUUAAGCUGCCUUUUUUUUUACUAGAUAUCUGUCC
rnacentral:lncRNA from 1 species